GCUGAUAUAGCUCAGUUGGUAGAGCGCAUCCUUGGUAAGGAUGAGGUCAUCGGUUCAAAUCCGAUUAUCAGCUCCA
rnacentral:tRNA from 3 species